GGCCGCGGCAACCCGUGCUAAGGUAGCAUAAUCACUCGCCCCCUAAUUAGGGGCUAGAAUGAACGGAUAAACGAGAAAUUUUCUGUCUCUGGGGCACAAAUAAAAACUAUCCUCCAUGUGAAAAGACAUGUAUUCUUAAAAAAGACAAAAAGACCCUAUUGCGCUUUAUUGUUAUCUAUAAAAACUUUUAUAUAGACACCAAUUUAGUUGGGGCGACACCGGAUACUAUAAUUCAUCCAUCGAAACACAGAGAGACCCCUCAACACCACUGACCCUUUAAAAGAUCCAAGAACAAGUUACCGUAGGGAUAACAGGCUAAUCCCCUCCUAGAGCCCUUAUCAACGAGGGGGGUUGGCACCUCGAUGUUGGCUUAGGAUUCCCAAUAGGCGCAGCCGCCUAUUACAGAAGGUUUGUUCAACCUAAUCAAUCCUACGUGAUC
rnacentral:rRNA from 1 species